rfam:Oryza sativa Japonica Group DNA, chromosome 7, cultivar: Nipponbare, complete sequence.
AAUAAGUGCAGUUUUACACUAUUCACAUUCAACGUUUGACUGUUCUUUUAUUUGAAAAAAUUUUUAUUAGUAUUUUUAUUGCUAUUAGAUGAUAAACAUAAAUAGUACUUUAUGUGUGACUAAAUAUUUUUAAAUUUUUCGUAAAUUUUUUAAAUAAGACGGACGGUUAAACAUUAGACACGGAUAUCCACGGCUGCACUGAGG